rnacentral:rRNA from 1 species
GACAGAGGAUGCAAGCGUUAUCCGGAAUGAUUGGGCGUAAAGCGUCUGUAGGUGGCUUUUUAAGUCCGCCGUCAAAUCCCAGGGCUCAACCCUGGACAGGCGGUGGAAACUACUAAGCUGGAGUACGGUAGGGGCAGAGGGAAUUUCCGGUGGAGCGGUGAAAUGCGCAGAUAUCAGGAGGAACACCGAUGGGCGAAGGCAGGUCUCUGGGCCACUACUGACGCUGAGGAGCGAAAGCGUGGGGAGCAAACAGG